GGAGGCCCAGGAGACUCUGGCUUAGGUAACUGUAGGUAAACUGCCUGGAACGUCUACCUUAGUGAUUGUUGGGACUAGAUAGUUACCUUUGUUGAUUUGGGCUCAGGAAAAUCUACUUAAGGUGAUCAUGAGGGACCAGAAAUCUUUAUUUCAGGUGAUUUGGGGAUGCCAGGAACCUUUGUCUUCGUUGCUUUUGGUCUCAGGAAAUUUUGGUGAUUGCAGGAGCAAAGGUGGCAUGUGGAUGAAAUCUACCUGCCAGUCUUGUGCAGGAAGAUGUCCGUGAAUUUGGUACCAGAUGCCGGCAUCACCUGCUUGAUAUGUCCACCGUGGCUCAGUUAAAGGGACUGCAUCAUCAGCCACCGCAUUAGUCCUAUCUUGGUUAUGGAGCUGAUCAGCACGGGUCCGGGCUGCCUGCCAUAUCUAUUCCUUUUCAUCAGGGGUUAAAGUGGCAUUUAGGAUGUAAUAAAGGUCAUUCCAGGUUAAAUGA